rnacentral:rRNA from 1 species
GGAAAAGAAACUAACAAGGAUUCCCUUAGUAACUGCGAGUGAAGCGGGAAGAGCUCAAAUUUUAAAUCUGGCAGUCUCUGGCUGUCCGAGUUGUAGUCUGGAGAAGUGUUUUCCGUGCUGGACCGUGUACAAGUCUCUUGGAACAGAGCGUCGUAGAGGGUGAGAAUCCCGUCUUUGACACGGACUACCAGUGCUAUGUGAUGCACUCUCAAAGAGUCGAGUUGUUUGGGAAUGCAGCUCAAAAUGGGUGGUAAAUUCCAUCUAAAGCUAAAUAUUGGCGAGAGACCGAUAGCGAACAAGUACCGUGAGGGAAAGAUGAAAAGCACUUUGGAAAGAGAGUUAAACAGUACGUGAAAUUGCUGAAAGGGAAACGCUUGAAGUCAGUCGCGUUAGCCAGGACUCAGCCUUGCUUUUUUGCUUGGUGCACUUUCUGGUUGACGGGCCAGCAUCAAUUUUGAUUGCCAGAAAAAGGCAAGGGGAAUGUGACACCUUCGGGUGUGUUAUAGCCCUUUGUCACAUAUGGCAGUUGGAAUUGAGGACUGCAGCACGCCUUUACGGCCGGGGUUCGCCCACGUUCGUGCUUAGGAUGCUGGCAUAAUGGCUUUAAACGACCCGUCUUGAAACACGGACCAAGGAGUCUAACAUGCCUGCAAGUGUUUGGGUGGAAAACCCGAGCGCGUAAUGAAAGUAAAAGUUGAGAUCCCUGUCAUGGGGAGCAUCGACGCCCGGACCUGAUCUUCGGUGAUGGAUCUGCGGUAGAGCAUGUAUGUUGGGACCCGAAAGAUGGUGAACUAUGCCUGAAUAGGGUGAAGCCAGAGGAAACUCUGGUGGAGGCUCGUAGCGAUUCUGACGUGCAAAUCGAUCGUCAAAUUUGGGUAUAGGGGCGAAAGACUAAUCGAACC